rnacentral:rRNA from 1 species
GCUCCUACCGAUUGGAUGAUCCGGUGAGACUUCCGGACCGCGGAGUCCACGGCGGUUCGCCGCCGAGGGCACUGCGGGAAGUUAUUCAAACCUUAUCAUCUAGAGGAAGGAGAAGUCGUAACAAGGUUUCCGUAGGUGAACCUGCGGAAGGAUCAGUA